rnacentral:lncRNA from 13 species
GACUUGGUACUGUUGAUAUGGUCGGUGUUGAUAUGACUUGGCAUUUGUGAGUUCAAAGUUAAGCUUUUGCUGUGUGAAGGACUUGUAGGCGGGGCUAUACUGUACUAGGCCUAGAUGAUUAAGAACAACUAAUUGAAUUUGGGAUGGUAGUUUUGGGAGCAUGUGCAUGUAGGGAAGCAUGGCUUUUUCUCUGAUGACUGCUAGUUUACGCAUGAUGAAAUUGUGUACACUGUCCACCACGCUCAUUUCAGCCUAUUCAAAACAUUGUAAUAUUACAGUCAUAAAUAAUACAUUCGGGUAUACAUAAGCAAGCUCUUGAAAUCGGGCCUUAUAGCGUAACCUAUUACAUUCGCACGCGCGCAUGCAAGUGUGUGUGUGUGUGUGCGUGCGUGCGACAGAGCGUGUUUGAUAGCGAGAGCUCGCGUCUGCAUACAAGCGAAUGUAAUGGCUCCAUGUGACCACAACAGAAGCACUGAAGCAGCAUCGGGCACGCGGCGGUCCCUUUAAGAGACGUGGGUUAGUUUCUCUCUUUGGUUAUCUAGCUGUAUGAGUUUAUGUGAUAUCAUAAAGCUAGAGAACCGAAUGUAUAAACUAAUUCUGCAGACUUCAGGAACCACCAAUGGAGCGAAGCGAAUCUGGAUCGGGGGAUGUCGGAGAAAGGCACCGAGCCCUGGAACUAAAAGCAGGCUGUGCCCGCUGAAAGCACCGGAAAACGCCGCUGUUCCAGGGGGGAUGCAGGACCUUGGACAGAUAUAUCAUCAUCUCAAGCCAGAAAAACAAAAAAACGCAGAGAAAUAAUUUGAGUGAGAGAGAUCAGUAGCUGUGUGGGCCUGGACAAGGAGAACAGGUGAGAGUCCUAAUAGUAACCACAAUGCUAUCUUAGCAUGCAUAAUGAGUUUUAUUUUAUUUUUUGAGGGGGAGGGGGGUGAACAGUUUAUAUUCAUUCAUGUGGGAACAUUUCACACUGUGUCAGAAAAUGUCUCUUAGAAACAAUAACAACAAUUUUACUUGCUAGUCUUAACAAAUACUGUAUGGACACAUAAAAAAAAUAAUAUGUAGGAUUUGGAAAAUUACCAAAUUGUAAUGCCAGCAGAGUUGAAACACACCAGACCUUAUGCUUCUUAGACCCAGUGAGGCAGAAGAUGUGGAAGACUGUAGACCAACAGCUAACUCCUGACGUAAAUUCAACUGUUUAAGUUAGGCCAGAGUCUGAGGUCGAUCUCGGGACACGGAAACUUCACAAUAAAAGAGAAAUCUUGAUUUUUGUUUUCUGAUUACAGAUUAAUUUAGUCUUGGAUAACUUUUGUUUGGCCAUCAUCAAUUUCCCAUGAUUUUAGUCAUAUUAACAAUAUUUACACUGCCUUCAGAAAGUAUUCACACCCCUUGAGUGGGAUUAAAAUUGAUUUAAUUGUUUAAAAAAAUUGUCAACGAUCUACACAAAAUACUGUGUAAUGUCAAAGUGGAAGAAAAAUUAUAAUAUUUGUAAAACAAUGAAAUAUAAAACACUAAUAUAUCUUGAUUAGAUGAGUAUUCAACUCCCUGAGUCAAUACAUGUUAGAAUCACCUUUGAUAGUGUUUACAGCAGUGAGUCUUUCUGGGUAAGACUUUAAGAGCUUUCCACACCUGGAUUGUGCAACAUUUGCCCAUUGUCCUUUUCAAAAUUCUUCAAACUCUGUCAAAUUGUUUGUUGAUCAUUGCUAAACAACCAUUUUCAGGUCUUGCCAUAUAUUUUCAAGCAGAUUUAAGUCAAAACUGUAACUCGGCCACUCAGGAACAUUCACUGUCUUCUCGGUAAGCAACAGUGUAGAUUUGAUCUUGUGUUUGUAGUUUAUUGACCUGCUGAAAGGUGAAAUCAUCUCCUAGUAUUACUUUAGUGCCUUGUUACUAACAGGAUGCAUGUUUUGGAAUAUUUUUAUUAUGUACAGACUUCUUUCUUUUCACUCUGUCAUUUAGGUUAGUAUUGUGGAGUAACUACUAUGUUGUUGAUCCAUCCUCAGUUUUCUCCUGUCACAGCCACUAAACGAUAACUGUUUUAAAGUUACCAUUGACCUCAUGGUGAAAUCCCUGAGUGGUUUCCUUCCUCUCCGGCAACUGAGUUAGGAAGGAUGCCUGUAUCUCUGUAAUGACUGGAUGUAUUGAUACACCAUCCAAAGUGUCAUUAAUAACUUCACCACGCUCAAAGGGAUAAUGGAUGUCUGUUUUUUUUUUACCCAUCUACCAGUAGGUGCCCUUCUUUGCGAGGCAUUGGAAAAUCUCCUUGGUCUUUGUGGUUGAAUCUGUGUUUGAAAUUCACUUCUUGACUGUGGGACCUUACAGAAAAUGGUAUAUGUGGGGUACAGAGAUGAAUUAGUCAUUCAAAAAUCAUGUUAAACACUAUUAUUGCACAAAUAGUUAGUCCAUGUAACUUAUUUUCUGACUUGUUAAGCACUUUUUUUUUUACUCCUGAACAUAUUUAGGCUUGCUAAGGUGUUGAAUACUUAUUGACUCAAGACAUUUAAUUUUUUAAUUUUUUCUUCAUUUAUUAACAUUUCUAAAAUAGAAUUCUACUUGGGGUAGUGUGUGUAGACCAGUGACAAAAAAAUAUCUACAUUUAAUCAUUUUUGAAUUCAGGCUGUAACAUGACAAAAUGUGGAAAAAGUCAAGUGGUGUGAAUACUUUCUGAAAGCACUGUAUGCCAGGCCCUCAUCCAUUUAGCCCUGGCAACUUUGUGUGUGUUUUUUACACUCUCAUUCCUCCACCCUCUCUCACUUUUACCCCUUCUUUAAAAUGUCUCAUCCAAUUUGUUUGAUUCUUGAGUUUUGGCAGAUGAGGCGUAGGGUGGCCUGGUUGUGUAAUCUAUAUUUUAAUUCCUUUGUCCAUGCUCCUUAUCCCUUUAAGAUACUUGGGGGACCUUGGCAGAGUGUGUGUGCAAGGUGUGCUCAUGUGGAAAAGGCUGCGAGUGUGGCUAAGUCCCUCACCCCUCUAAUUCCCCC